UUCUUCGGAAUAGAGACCGGCGCACGGGUGCGUAACGCGUAUGCAAUCUACCUUUUACAGAGGGAUAGCCCAGAGAAAUUUGGAUUAAUACCUCAUAGUAUAGCAGCUUCGCAUGAAGCCACUAUUAAAGUCACAACGGUAAAAGAUGAGCAUGCGUCCCAUUAGCUAGUUGGUAAGGUAACGGCUUACCAAGGCUACGAUGGGUAGGGGUCCUGAGAGGGAGAUCCCCCACACUGGUACUGAGACACGGACCAGACUCCUACGGGAGGCAGCAGUGAGGAAUAUUGGACAAUGGGCGCAAGCCUGAUCCAGCCAUGCCGCGUGCAGGAUGACGGUCCUAUGGAUUGUAAACUGCUUUUGUACAGGAAGAAACACUGGUUCGUGAACCAGCUUGACGGUACUGUAAGAAUAAGGAUCGGCUAACUCCGUGCCAGCAGCCGCGGUAAUACGGAGGAUCCAAGCGUUAUCCGGAAUCAUUGGGUUUAAAGGGUCCGUAGGCGGUUUAGUAAGUCAGUGGUGAAAGCCCAUCGCUCAACGGUGGAACGGCCAUUGAUACUGCUAAACUUGAAUUAUUAGGAAGUAACUAGAAUAUGUAGUGUAGCGGUGAAAUGCUUAGAGAUUACAUGGAAUACCAAUUGCGAAGGCAGGUUACUACUAAUGGAUUGACGCUGAUGG
rnacentral:rRNA from 1 species